CCUACGGGAUGCAGCAGUGGGGAAUAUUGCACAAUGGGCGGAAGCCUGAUGCAGCGACGCCGCGUGAGGGAUGAAGGCCUUCGGGUUGUAAACCUCUUUCAGCAGGGACGAAGCGUGAGUGACGGUACCUGCAGAAGAAGCACCGGCUAACUACGUGCCAGCAGCCGCGGUAAUACGUAGGGUGCGAGCGUUGUCCGGAAUUACUGGGCGUAAAGAGUUCGUAGGCGGUUUGUCGCGUCGUUUGUGAAAACCCGGGGCUCAACUUCGGGCUUGCAGGCGAUACGGGCAGACUUGAGUGUUUCAGGGGAGACUGGAAUUCCUGGUGUAGCGGUGAAAUGCGCAGAUAUCAGGAGGAACACCGGUGGCGAAGGCGGGUCUCUGGGAAACAACUGACGCUGAGGAACGAAAGCGUGGGUAGCAAACAGGAUUAGAUACCCUGGUAGUCCACGCCGUAAACGGUGGGCGCUAGGUGUGGGUUCCUUCCACGGGAUCUGUGCCGUAGCUAACGCAUUAAGCGCCCCGCCUGGGGAGUACGGCCGCAAGGCUAAAACUCAAAGGAAUAGCGNGNGAGNGCGACGAGCACAGGAGGUAG
rnacentral:rRNA from 1 species